GGGCACCACCAGGAGUGGAGCCUGCGGCUUGGUUUGACUCAGCGCGAGAAAACUCACCCGGCCCGGACAGUGGGAGGAUUGACAGACUGACUAGCUCUUUCUUGAUUCCGUGGGUGGUGGUGCAUGGCCGUUCUUAGUUGGGGGAGCGAUUUGUCUGGUUAAUUCCGAUAACGAACCAGACUCUAGCCUACUAGUUAGCCGGCCCGGUCGUUAUGCGCCCGGGCAGCGAGCUUCUUAGAGGGACAGACGGCGAGUAAGCCGUACGAGAUAGAGCAAUAACAGGUCUGUGAUGCCCUUAAAUGUCCGGGGCCGCACGCGCGCUACACUGAAGUGAUCAUCAUGCUAGCAAGCCCGCUCCGAGAGGAGCGGGUAACCGUUUGAACCCUCUUCGUGAUAGGGAUUGAGCUUUGAAACUAUUGCUCAUGAACAAGGAAUUCCCAGUAGGCGUGAGUAAUUCCCUUACGCCGAUUACGUCCCUGGCCUUUGUACACACCGCACGUCACUACUACCGAUUGAAUG
rnacentral:rRNA from 1 species